rnacentral:rRNA from 1 species
CCUACGGGAGGCAGCAGUGAGGAAUAUUGGUCAAUGGACGCUAGUCUGAACCAGCCAAGUAGCGUGCAGGAUGACUGCCCUAUGGGUUGUAAACUGCUUUUAUAUGGGAAUAAAGUGCAGUACGUAUACCGCGUUGCAUGUAUCUUAUGAAUAAGGAUCGGCUAACUCCGUGCCAGCAGCCGCGGUAAUACGGAGGAUUCGAGCGUUAUCCGGAUUUAUUGGGUUUAAAGGGGGCGUAGGCGGGUUGUUAAGUCAGUUGUGAAAGUUUGCGGCUCAACCGUGGAAUUGCAGUUGAUACUGGCGGCCUUGAGUACAGUAGAGGUAGGCGGAAUUCAUGGUGUAGCGGUGAAAUGCUUAGAUAUCACGAAGAACUCCGAUUGCGAAGGCAGCUUGCCGGACUGUAACUGACGCUGAGGCUCGAAAGUGUGGGUAUCAAACAGGAUUAGAUACCCGUGUAGUC